rnacentral:tRNA from 1 species
GCCCUAGUGGGCCAGUAGUUGGGACUUGGCACUUUUACUGCCAGGGCCAGGGUUCAAUCCCUGGCUGGGGAA